rnacentral:rRNA from 1 species
CAGUCAUUGGGUUAUAUAUAUAAACCUAAUGGCGUAAUUAACUUAACUUUAUUUAAAUGGGACUAAWUUUWKWSUMUWUKUUUWAAWWRKYYUAUUAAUUCAAUCCCGGGGCGUUCUAUAUAGUUAUGUAUAAUAAUAAUUUAUUAUUAUUUAUACCUCUAACUGGAGCGUACCUUGAGCAUAUAUGCUGUGACCCGAAAGAUGGUGAACUAUACUUGAUCAGGUUGAAGUCAGGGGAAACCCUGAUGGAAGACCGAAACAGUUCUGACGUGCAAAUCGAUUGUCAGAAUUGAGUAUAGGGGCGAAAGACCAAUCGAACCAUCUAGUAGCUGGUUCCCUCCGAAGUUUCCCUCAGGAUAGCUGGUGCAUUUUAAUAUUAUAUUAAAUAAUCUUAUCUGGUAAAGCGAAUGAUUAGAGUCCUUAGGGUCGAAACGACCUUAACCUAUUCUCAAACUUUAAAUGGGUAAGAACCUCACCUUUCUUGAUAUGAAGGUUGAGGUUAUGAUAUAAUGUGCCCAGUGGGCCACUUUUGGUAAGCAGAACUGGCGCUGUGGGAUGAACCAAACGUAAUGUUACGGUGCCUAAAUUAACAACUCAUGCAGAUACCAUGAAAGGCGUUGGUUGCUUAAAACAGCAGGACGGUGGACAUGGAAGUCGUAAUCCGCUAAGGAGUGUGUAACAACUCACCUGCCGAAGCAACUAGCCCUUAAAAUGGAUGGCGCUUAAGUUGUAUA